rnacentral:sRNA from 1 species
UCCAAAGUUACCAGAGGAAGGUAUUUUAUGAAACCCGGCGAGUGAAUCUACCCAGAGCUGAAGCUUCCUUUGCAACUUGGGAACACCAGGGCCACAGUGACUUUGUGGCUUGGCUUUAGAUAAAUUUGACCAUGGCUGUAGAACCCAGCAGCUCAGAAUCCAUUAAAAGGAGAGCUGGGAGGAGGCUCCUGCCAUACGCCAGACAGUUUUGUAGACACGAAGGAUACAGAGAUUAGCAACACCUUUACCAUUUUUGAUGACAGUUAAGCACCCAUCUAAGAAGUUUUCUUUGGUGAGUGCCAAAAAGUGUAACUC